UACGUAGGGUGCAAGCGUUGUCCGGAAUUAUUGGGCGUAAAGAGUUCGUAGGCGGUUUGUCGCGUCCGUUGUGAAAGCUUGGGGCUCAACCCCAAGUCUGCAGUGGAUACGGGCAGACUUGAGUUCGGUAGGGGAGACUGGAAUUUACGGUGUAGCAGUGAAAUGCGUAGAGAUCGUAAGGAAGACCAGUGGCGAAGGCGGGUCUCUGGACAGUUCCUGACACUGAGGCACGAAGGCCAGGGGAGCAAACGGG
rnacentral:rRNA from 1 species